UGGUAAGUUAUUAACAGUGUUCAUCGCCUCACUUGUAAACAUUAAGUCGACCAAAAUGUGUUAAUUAAAAUACAAACUUGGAGGAUUUAAUACUUCACUACGUCACUAUACUGUGAUGUCACAUCUCAAGACCAAGUGUAACUAAGUAGAAGUUCACAAUGUCAAGCAGAGAUAAAAAGUUCUCCUGUGAGGAAUGUGGCAAACAGUUUGGCUUCAAGUCUACUCUUCAGAGACAUUUACUUGUACACAAUGGUGUGAAGGAGUUUGAAUGUGAGGAAUGUGGGAAAUGUUUCUCCCAGAAGAGUACUCUCAAG